CUCGACCCAGCGCCUCGUUACCAUGGAGACCGGCUGUGUACCGAAAUUCAGGUUCACCUGGUGACAGUGGAGCCAAAGGAACAGCACACGGAUAAAUUAACACCAACACAGCUUUCCUGAUGAAUGCUGGGCUAAGAUGAGUUGUACGUCUACCUGCAUGUUGAGUCGUCCCCUCUGAGCCGUGAAGCCAUGGUGAGACUGAGAGGAAGCCAGCAGCUGGUCGUCUUCCACCCGGUGAGACUCCAAACCCAGAGGAGGACACUCUGAGAGGAGAAGCAAACAAAUUAAAAAAGUCAGAAACAAGAGGACAAAAAGGAGCAGUACUCCUCUUACUUUUUGGUUUAGUCGGCACGGAAAUCUGCUUCAGUCUCUCCUCUUCCUCCUCCUCCCACUGCUUCCUCAGCCG